rnacentral:rRNA from 1 species
AUUGAACGCUGGCGGCAUGCCUUACACAUGCAAGUCGAACGGCAGCAUGGAGAGCUUGCUCUCUGAUGGCGAGUGGCGAACGGGUGAGUAAUGCAUCGGAACGUACCGUGUAAUGGGGGAUAACGUAGCGAAAGUUACGCUAAUACCGCAUACGACCUGAGGGUGAAAGCAGGGGAUCGCAAUACCUUGCGUUAUACGAGCGGCCGAUGUCCGCUGAGCUAGUUGGUGAGGUAAAGGCUCACCAAGGCAACGAUCUGUAGCGGGUCUGAGAGGAUGUACCGCCACACUGGCACUGAGACACGGCCCAGAGUCCUGCGGGAGGCAGCAGUGGGGGAUUUUGGACAAUGGGGGCAACCCUGAUCCAGCCAUGCCGCGUGAGUGAAGAAGGCCUUCUGGUUGUAAAGCUCUUUCGGCCGGGAAGAAAUCGCACAGGCUAAUACUCUGUGUGGAUGACGGUACCGGCAUAAGAAGCACCGGCUAACUACGUGCCAGCCGCCGCGGUAA